AGCUUCUCAGAUUGUGUACCGUCCUAGUUGGCAGGCAGUUAGAACUCGUGAUUGAGUGGUUGGUAAAGCUAGACCUGAGCGACCUAACCUGUUGGUUUGAAUGACUGUG
rnacentral:ncRNA from 1 species